CUCCUACGGGAGGCAGCAGUGGGGAAUAUUGGACAAUGGGCGCAAGCCUGAUCCAGCCAUGCCGCGUGAGUGAAGAAGGCCUUCGGGUUGUAAAGCUCUUUUGUCCGGAAAGAAAAGCAUUCGGUUAAUAACCGGGUGUCAUGACGGUACCGGAAGAAUAAGCACCGGCUAACUUCGUGCCAGCAGCCGCGGUAAUACGAAGGGUGCAAGCGUUACUCGGAAUUACUGGGCGUAAAGCGUGCGUAGGUGGUUCGUUAAGUCUGAUGUGAAAGCCCUGGGCUCAACCUGGGAAUGGCAUUGGAUACUGGUGGACUGGAGUGCGGUAGAGGAUGGCGGAAUUCCCGGUGUAGCAGUGAAAUGCGUAGAGAUCGGGAGGAACAUCCGUGGCGAAGGCGGCCAUCUGGACCAGCACUGACACUGAGGCACGAAAGCGUGGGGAGCAAACAGGAUUAGAUACCCUGGUAGUCCACGCCCUAAACGAUGCGAACUGGAUGUUGGGAGCAACUAGGCUCUCAGUAUCGAAGCUAACGCGUUAA
rnacentral:rRNA from 1 species